UACGAACUGUGCAAACGUUAUUCGGAACCACUGGGCUUAAAGGGUGCGUAGGCGGCUUGUUAAGUAGGGUGUGAAAUCCCAAGGCUCAACCUUGGAAUUGCGCCCUAAACCGGCGAGCUGGAGUGAGAUAGGGGUGUGUGGAACUUCCAGUGGAGCGGUGAAAUGUGUUGAUAUUGGAAGGAACGCCAGUGGCGAAAGCGACACACUGGGUCUCAACUGACGCUGAGGCACGAAAGCCAGGGGAGCAAACGGG
rnacentral:rRNA from 1 species